UACGGGGGGAGCAAGCGUUGUUCGGAUUUACUGGGCGUAAAGGGCGCGUAGGCGGCCAGCACAAGUCAGUUGUGAAAUCUCCGAGCUUAACUCGGAAAGGUCAACUGAUACUGUGCGGCUAGAGUGCGGAAGGGGCAACUGGAAUUCUUGGUGUAGCGGUGAAAUGCGCAGAUAUCAGGAAGAACACCUAUGGCGAAGGCAGCUCUCUGGGACGGUACUGACGCUGAGACGCGAAAGCGUGGGGAGCGAACAGG
rnacentral:rRNA from 1 species